UCGGAUCAGGAUUGCCCUAGUAACGGCGAGUGAAGCGGCAACAGCUCAAAUUUGAAAUCUGGCUCUUUUAGGGUCCGAGUUGUAAUUUGCAGAGGGUGCUUUGGCAAAGGUUGUGGUCUAAGUUCCUUGGAACAGGACGUCACAGAGGGUGAGAAUCCCGUACGUGGCCGCCAACCCGCGCUAUGUAAAGCCCCUUCGACGAGUCGAGUUGUUUGGGAAUGCAGCUCUAAAUGGGAGGUAAAUUUCUUCUAAAGCUAAAUAUUGGCCAGAGACCGAUAGCGCACAAGUAGAGUGAUCGAAAGAUGAAAAGCACUUUGGAAAGAGAGUCAAAAAGCACGUGAAAUUGUUGAAAGGGAAGCGCUUGCAGCCAGACUUGCCUGUAGUUGCUCAUCCGGGCUCUUGCCCGGUGCACUCUUCUAUGGGCAGGCCAGCAUCAGUCUUGGCGGUCGGAUAAAUGCGUGCUAAA
rnacentral:rRNA from 1 species